rnacentral:rRNA from 1 species
GCGCGAAAACUUUACAAUGCUGGCAACAGCGAUAAGGGAACCUCGAGUGCCAGGUUACAAAUCUGGCUGUCGAGAUGCCUAAAAAGCAUUUCAUAGCAAGGGCCGGGCAAGACCGGUGCCAGCCGCCGCGGUAACACCGGCGGCUCGAGUGGUAGCCGUUAUUAUUGGGUCUAAAGGGUCUGUAGCCGGCCGGAUAAGUCUCUUGGGAAAUCUGGCAGCUCAACUGUCAGGCUAUCAGGGGAUACUGUCUGGCUCGAGGCCGGGAGAGGUGAGAGGUACUUCAGGGGUAGGGGUGAAAUAUUGUAAUCCUUGAAGGACAACCAGUGGCGAAGGCGUCUCACCAGAACGGACCUGACGGCAAGGGACGAAAGCUAGGGGCACGAACCG